rnacentral:rRNA from 1 species
GUGUCAGCAGCCGCGGUAAUACGUAGGGAGCGAGCGUUGUCCGGAAUUACUGGGCGUAAAGGGCGCGUAGGUGGUCCAUUAAGUUACUGGUGAAAGUUCGGGGCUUAACCCCGUGAUUGCCUGUAAUACUGGUGGACUUGAGUGCAGGAGAGGGGAGUGGAAUUCCCAGUGUAGCGGUGAAAUGCGUAGAUAUUGGGAGGAACACCAGUGGCGAAGGCGGCUCUCUGGACUGUAACUGACACUGAGGCGCGAAAGCGUGGGGAGCAAACAGGAUUAGAUACCCUGGUAGUCCACGCCGUAACCGAUGAGUGCUAGGUGUUGCGGGUAUCGACCCCUGCAGUGCCGUAGUUAACACAAUAAGCACUCCGCCUGGGGAGUACGGUCGCAAGACUGAAACUCAAAGAAAUUGACGG